rnacentral:precursor_RNA from 15 species
AAAUACUAAGUUUUGAUGAAAAUUCAGCACUUAAGUAGUUGAUACAAAGGCGAAUUUAUUAAAUUUAUCGCAUUGUGUGAGCUACUUAAAUGACAGAUUUUUAUAGUACGACUAAAAUAAU